rnacentral:rRNA from 1 species
AACGAACGCUGGCGGCAGGCCUAACACAUGCAAGUCGAGCGCGCCCUUCAGGGUGAGCGGCGGACGGGUGAGUAACGCGUGGGAACGUGCCCUUCUCUGCGGAAUAGCCUCGGGAAACUGAGAGUAAUACCGCAUACGCCCUUUGGGGGAAAGAUUUAUCGGAGAAGGAUCGGCCCGCGUUGGAUUAGGUAGUUGGUGGGGUAAUGGCCCACCAAGCCGACGAUCCAUAGCUGGUUUGAGAGGAUGAUCAGCCACACUGGGACUGAGACACGGCCCAGACUCCUACGGGAGGCAGCAGUGGGGAAUCUUAGACAAUGGGGGCAACCCUGAUCUAGCCAUGCCGCGUGAGUGAUGAAGGCCUUAGGGUUGUAAAGCUCUUUCAGCUGGGAAGAUAAUGACGGUACCAGCAGAAGAAGCCCCGGCUAACUCCGUG